CCUACGGGAUGCUGCAGUGAGGAAUAUUGGUCAAUGGACGAGAGUCUGAACCAGCCAAGUAGCGUGAAGGAUGACUGCCCUAUGGGUUGUAAACUUCUUUUAUAAAGGAAUAAAAUGUUCCACGUGUGGGAUUUUGUAUGUACCAUAUGAAUAAGGAUCGGCUAACUCCGUGCCAGCAGCCGCGGUAAUACGGAGGAUCCGAGCGUUAUCCGGAUUUAUUGGGUUUAAAGGGAGCGUAGGUGGAUUGUUAAGUCAGUUGUGAAAGUUUGCGGCUCAACCGUAAAAUUGCAGUUGAAACUGGCAGUCUUGAGUACAGUAGAGGUGGGCGGAAUUCGUGGUGUAGCGGUGAAAUGCUUAGAUAUCACGAAGAACUCCGAUUGCGAAGGCAGUUCACUGGACUGCAACUGACACUGAGGCUCGAAAGUGUGGGUAUCAAACAGGAUUAGAUACCCUUGUAGUC
rnacentral:rRNA from 1 species